rnacentral:rRNA from 1 species
UACAGGGGCCUCGAGCGUUAGGCGGAAUCACUGGGCUUAAAGCGUGUGUAGGCGGACUUCUAAGUGCCUUGUGAAAUCCCACGGCUCACCCGUGGAACUGCUGGGCAUACUGGGAGUCUUGAGCCACCUAGGGGCGAGCGGAACAAAUGGUGGAGCGGUGAAAUGCGUAGAUAUCAUUUGGAACGCCAACGGAGAAAUCAGCUCGCUGGGGGUGUGCUGACGCUGAGACACGAAAGCCAGGGGAGCGAACGGG